UAUCAAUCGUGUUUGUGCACAGUCUGUAUUAAGUUAUGACUGGAUACUGUAUUAAGUUAUGACUGGAUACUAUAUGAAAAUAAACUUUUAAGCACAUAUCUAUUAUAAUCUAGUUAUAGAACAAUAUUUCGUGAUGUAUGUGAUACGAUGGUUCCUUCUCAAAAGUUGUAUAUUUGGAGUGUUCUUUUCAGUCACAGAGGCAAGUGUUUUGCUACACACAUUUGAUGUAGAGACGACUUAUUUCAAAGGCUCUUACGUUACGCUCGUUUGCAUAAUUACUCCCUAUAAUAAUGAGAUGACUUGGUACGUGGACAAUGAACUCUACGCUGGCUGUUUUUUAGGGAACUGUGGUUCUUCUUUAAACAAACCAUAUACAUUUGAUUUCACUUUUGAUGAAACUGCAGAGGUUUUCAAACUCACUAUAGAUUCUGUGGAUUCUUCUCAUGCUGAACUUUUAUUUGCUUGCGACGAUGGAAAUGUGAGAAAAACAAUUUCUUUCAAUGUGACAACAGGUAUUCUUCUUUUAUUAAUGGAUAAAAAAUAAAUAAAUUUCUUGCAUUUAUUCGUAAAAGGAAAUUGUGUAUAACCUAGGAACACCUUUAAAGGAUACAUGUAGGCUGAAUAAAAAAGCGUUUUGCUAACAGUUAAAGCUCCUAAAUGUGUGUAUAUUUUCUCACCAUAAUGCAUGUAAUGUGUCAGGAACAUACACAUAUUAUUAUUAUUUGAUCAAAUAAUAAAAUAGCAUGAUUGUCUAUUUAUUUAAAGGGCUAUUUCUAAUCUUUGCUAUAUUUCUGAAGU